AACGCAUUUUGCGCUUCCAGGCAUUCCUGGGAGCACGUCUGGCUGAGUAUCAAUUACCCUUCCUUCCCACCCCCUCGGGGGAUCCACGGGAGACAGUGGGGCUCCCGGGCCGGCGCUUCGUGCGCCAGCUCGCGUGCCCUGAAAACCAGAGGUCUCGCAAGGGACCGGGACGGCGCUCAGCGCGCCUCCUGCCGUGUUGCACACCUGCCGAUCGCGUGAAACCGCUCGGAAGCUGGCGUCAAGCCUCUUCUUUGCCCUUUCUUCUGCUGCUCUGGCGCGUUAGGAAAGCUUUGCUCUUUCUCACGUCGGGGCUCCCGCAGAAGGCUCAAGGGGGUAGGACGAGGUGCCGGCUGCAACGCGCAAGCACAUUUCAACUUCUGAUCUCAGCUCAGACGGGGCUACCCGCUGAACUUAA
rnacentral:misc_RNA from 1 species